AUUAUGACGUUUAUAGCCACACAUGCCAGUGUGUGCCCGUAAUGGAUGCUUGUGUAGGAAAGUCUCCACCUAUCUGAUACACAAAUAUGAUGAAGAGGGAGAAAAAAAGUGAGGCUAUUCCAGACCCUUGUUUUAAUUCUCCAGAAUAAAGAGAUGUCUCACUUUUCAACUGUGCAGAAAGAAAUCCAGGUCUAACUGCUAGCAAGAAUAGGAAUUGAAAUGUGCAAGAGAACCUGGAAACAUGUGUAUACACAGGCAGGAGAGCAAAGGAGGGAAAAGUAUUUUUCCAAAUAGGGUGUGGGUAAUAAGGAGAGGCUUUAAUUUCUAAGUUAAAACUAAGAAGGAUUUUUUUAAAAUA